rnacentral:tRNA from 1 species
UCCCUGGUGGUCUAGUGGCUAGGAUUCGCGCGCUCACCGCCGCGGCCCGGGUUCGAUUCCCGGUCAGGGAA